CAACCUGGAAAAACCAGGUGGACCAAGGAGGUGGACUCAGACACAACUUAUCACCCACAUACAAAGCACUUUUAGGAACAAUACCCAAAAGAUUCACCUCAGUUUCACAUAACAAAGAGGCCCCCUUGAGCCCACCCUUUUGACUUCAGUAUGACUCUACACAUCUAAGACAUUUUAUUAAGUAAAAAUAGCCGAAUUUGAGUAUUUCGCGAUCAACUACAGGUCAGAAAUCCUGGGUGAGGCAGUGGAGAGCUGUGAGAUUCAAUACAAACUGGGUCAUAUGACACAUGCCCGUUUUUGUCCCUCAGCAUAUCGCCAAUAUUUACAGAAAUGUACAGAAACUUUACAGAAAUAUUUGUUAUGCAGCAUGACUCUCUACAGUCUGUGUAAUGUCUUUAAUGUAUGUGCAAGAUAAUUGCUGAUCUUACAAGAAAGUGCAGAAAAAAGUCAGCAGGGAAGGCAGGCAAUACUCUGUCUCACCUCAAGGGGGUGCGCUGAUAUUAGAACGUUUGUAUAACGGGAUUAGGAAUGCAAUGUACGGCCCGACCUUCCGGUUGUGGAUCCGGCACAUGUGACACGAGUCUCUAAGAGUGGCUUCAUAAACCCAUCCUACUGCGGGGCCACGAGCGGUCCAUCAGUCAGAUCAAGUACAACGGAGAAGGAGACCUUCUGUUUCCGUUGCUAAAGAUCCAGUGGCCAAUGUGUGGUACGACUCGGCACCUACAACGGACACAUGGGAGCUGUGCCGUGCGUCGACUGUGACUGGGACACCAAAAAUGUUUUGACAGGAUCAGCUGAUGACAGUGGAACUGCGUGAUUGGAGGGUGAAAAGAAAAUGCCUGUGUUUACAUGGAUAGAUAGAAGUUUCUGAGUCCCUCUGGAGUUUCAGCAGCAGUACAGCACCAAAACAACAAUAAAAAACGCACAAAUAGGUCUGCCAUCAGAACACGCAGGUUCACGCAGGUUCUUAGCGGCAACAUCAUGUUUUCCACGAACUUGUUCGACCUGAGGGAUCCACAACAGAUGGUAUUCCUGAAGAAAGCUAAAGGAGCACAGCAGGUGCAUCAACAACAUCCAGAUUGGUCUCAACUGUGUGGCUUUCCACCCUGACAGCAAGAGCAAUGGAGAAGACUAGGACUCUGCCAGGUAGAGUGAAGGAGCAACUUUAUUUGAAGCAGAUCACUUGUUUGCUGGACUUGAGUAUUUUUACUGAAAUCUGUAAUUGCUUGAGGAAAGUGUUAUUCAGCUUAUUCCAC